UACGAGGGGUCCUAGCGUUGUUCGGAAUCAUUGGGCGUAAAGGGUGUGUAGGUGGCUAUGUAAGUCAGGUGUGAAAGCCCCCGGGCGUCAACCCGGGAACGUGCAUCUGAUACUGCGUAGCUUGAGUACCGAAGAGGAUAGUGGAAUUCCAGGUGUAGUGGUGAAAUACGUAGAUAUCUGGAGGAACACCGGUGGCGAAGGCGGCUAUCUGGUCGAGUACUGACACUGAGACACGAAAGCAUGGGGAUCAAACAGGAUUAGAACGUACCGUGUACGUCCGUG
rnacentral:rRNA from 1 species